rnacentral:rRNA from 1 species
AUCGAACGCUGGCGGCAGGCCUAACACAUGCAAGUCGAACGAGUGGCGGACGGGUGAGUAAUGUCUGGGAAACUGCCCGAUGGAGGGGGAUAACUACUGGAAACGGUAGCUAAUACCGCAUACUAUCGUAUGUGCCCAGAUGGGAUUAGCUAGUAGGUGGGGGAACGGCUACCCUAGGCGACGAUCCCUAGCUGGUCUGAGAGGGUGACCGGCCACACUGGAACUGAGACACGGUCCAGACUCCUACGGGAGGCAGCAGUGGGGAAUAUUGCACAAUGGGCGCAAGCCUGAUGCAGCCAUGCCGCGUGUAUGAAGAAGGCUUUCGGGUUGUAAAGUACUGUCAGCGAGGAGGCGUUACUCGCAGAGGAAGCAACGGCUAACUCCGUGCCAGCAGCCGCGGUAAUAC